rnacentral:rRNA from 1 species
UACGGAGGGUGCGAGCGUUUGUCCGGAAUCAUUGGGCGUAAAGGGCGCGUAGGUGGCGGGACAAGCGUGCGGUGAAAGCUCGGGGCUCAACCCCGCGUCGGCCGUGCGAACUGUUUUGCUUGAGCACUGUAGAGGCAGGCGGAAUUCCGGGUGUAGCGGUGGAAUGCGUAGAGAUCCGGAAGAACACCGGUGGCGAAGGCGGCCUGCUGGGCAGUAGCUGACACUGAGGCGCGACAGCGUGGGGAGCAAACAGG